rnacentral:lncRNA from 1 species
CUGAGCCUCAGGAGGCCAGUUGCUCUCAUGGCUAUCAUUGAGCACUCACACACACGAUCUUGUCCUUGAGUCUGUUUUUGUCCUGGGAAUCAGGAUCAAAGCCUCUAGGGCUUCUGCCUGGGCUACACACAAAUGCAGCCUGCAUCUCAGAGUAGACUAGGGAUAUAUAGGAGGACACGGUCUAUUCCUUCCAUCUUGGUGGGAGAAGAGUGUGUCUGUACAUAGGCUGUGUGGUCCUUUUAUUCUGAGUGGAAUGUGACUCUACACAAACAAGGCAAUGGAAGCUACAAGCACAGUGUUGUAUGAGAAUUGGGCUCGUAGCCCAUCAGAAGACCCCACGAGAUUACCAGGAGACCACCCUCAGGCACUAGAGUGAUGACAUGGUAUCCUUUUAUUUAGAGCUGAGGUGACUCAAAUGACCUGACCACUGUCCUUCAGGUAGCCACUGUCCUUCGGGUAGGCCCAUUUCCUGAAGGCCUGUAUCCUAUGUUGAUCCAGGACCUGCCAUGAUAGGGCUUCUGUAAUCAUAUGCAGGACUCUGGACCAACACUUGCUAAAGGAGGAGAAUUCAGAAGACCAUGAGUAAGUGGUCUUACUCAUGGCAGGGAGCAAUGGUCUGGAAGUGGACUCAGGACAAAUUGUAGUUCAAAAUAGUAGUAUCUGACCUAGAAGAACACUCAGACAGGGUGUGGUGGGCGUUGUGCACAGGAAAACCUGCACUGAGGCUGGAAAAACGGUUUACAGGUUCUAUUAUCUUCCCCAGUGGCUAAUGCGACCCCCACCAUGUGUUUUUCCCUGGACCUGAACAGGCGUUCCAUGCUGGUAUCAGUGAGGAGUAAGGAGGAAAGCUUCCUCUCAGGGUCAGGAUAGGAAUGGUUUUAGAGGAAGAUGGGAACACAGGGACUAAGGAUGAAAUUGAUACUUUUCUGGCCUGAAGCACAAUAUUUAAAGCAUUGUGUAUGACAUUAAAACCACAGCCUGUGUGGAGUAUUGUCAGUGUUCCAGCAAGCAAAACCAGGAAUAAAUUUUUAAAAAGUACAGGCUGGGCAACAGCCUGAAUAGUCUAUCUUUGGACAAAUUCCCAAGUCCUCUGUGCCAGAGUCUGCUUCCCAAUAAGUGAUCAGAAUAGUGAGAUCAUUAUCCCUAACUAAAGUAAUCUGAGGGAUUUCUAAGCAUGUAUACCACAAAGCUGAUCUAUAAAUAAUACCAUUGCUGU